UUAUCACCAGUUAGUUUUGGUGGUCUUGUAACACUGCUCCUAGAACAUGACAACAUAAUACAGAAAAAGCCUGGCGGAGAGGUUGUCAUCAAGGAAUACUCCAAAACUAAAAGCCUGACUGACUGCACCAGACGAAAGAUGAUCAACAUUCUUGUUUCGGCGAUGACAGAGACUCAAGGGGUCGCAGUUGUAAAUGAGAACCUGUUCAACUGGCCUACCUGGUUAAAUAAAGGUGAAAUAAAAAUGAUAUUAUUGUCAGGACAUCCCCACGGUGCAGUGUGAGAGAAACGUUUGCAUAAGGCAUCGUCUCCUUGUUCCCAUACCUGAAGGAUUCCUACACCGCAAAUGGAUAUAUUGAACAGGAUUUUGUGCUGCUGUUUGGAGAGGGAACAUCAGCCAAGUUUUUGGAGAGGUGGCCAACUACAUUCAAGCAAAAGAUCAUCAUGCUAAGCAAUACCCGAAGCAAGGCCACUCAGGGAGCUGAACUUCAGUAGCUUAUCCAGAUGGCAGAAUCUACAGUUGAUGAGGGAGCUGACAUGAACGCUGACAAAUGGGACGGUGACCUUUCCUCCAUCCUUCUCAAUUUGAUUCCCCCAUCACAAGGCCGCAAAAGACCAGGAAAGAUGCAGGAAUCCGUAUCCAGGAACACCUUGAUGCGAUUGACCAGAGCCGCCAACCAUAUCUUCUUGCAGUCGGAACCAGGAAGAGCAGCAUCCAUGCUUACUUCAUCAUCCUGGACAAGCGAGCCUUACUUCAUCAUCCUGGACAAGCGAGCCUUGCAAGUCAAC